ACUCAAAUGAAUUGACGGGGGCCCGCACAAGCGGAGGAACAUGUGGUUUAAUUCGAUGAUACGCGAGGAACCUUACCUGGGCUUAAAUGUAGAUUGCAUGGGCCGGAAACGGUCCUUUCCUUCGGGACUAUUUACAAGGUGCUGCAUGGUUGUCGUCAGCUCGUGCCGUGAGGUGUCGGGUUAAGUCCCAUAACGAGCGCAACCCUUACCGUUAGUUGCCAUCAGGUAAAGCUGGGGACUCUGGCGGGACUGCCACCGUAAGGUGAGAGGAAGGUGGGGAUGACGUCAAAUCAGCACGGCCCUUAUGUCCAGGGCUACACACGUGUUACAAUGGCCGGUACAAAGGGCAGCUACCCCGCGAGGGGAUGCUAAUCCAUAAAGCCGGUCUCAGUUCGGAUUGGAGUCUGCAAUUCGACUCCAUGAAGUUGGAUUCGCUAGUAAUCGCGCAUCAGCCAUGGCGCGGUGAAUACGUUCCCGGGCCUUGUACACACCGCCCGU
rnacentral:rRNA from 1 species